rnacentral:snoRNA from 1 species
GCAGACACGCUCUGUUCUUUGCUGCAUACUCCAGCUUUGAACUUUUUCUGUCUGCUACAUAAACGUGCAGAAUGUCAAGACUAGACAGGCUUUUUUCAGGCAUGUUUAUCUGUACGUUCUGCUAUAUUUCU